rnacentral:rRNA from 1 species
AACGAACGCUGGCGGCAGGCCUAACACAUGCAAGUCGAACGGCAGCACGGACUUCGGUCUGGUGGCGAGUGGCGAACGGGUGAGUAAUGCAUCGGAACGUGCCCAAUCGUGGGGGAUAACGUAGCGAAAGUUACACUAAUACCGCAUACGAUCUAAGGAUGAAAGCGGGGGAUCGCAAGACCUCGCGCGAAUGGAGCGGCCGAUGUUAGAUUAGGUAGUUGGUGGGGUAAAGGCUCACCAAGCCGACGAUCUAUAGCUGGUCUGAGAGGAUGAUCAGCCACACUGGGACUGAGACACGGCCCAGACUCCUACGGGAGGCAGCAGUGGGGAAUUUUGGACAAUGGGCGCAAGCCUGAUCCAGCCAUUCCGCGUGCAGGAUGAAGGCCCUCGGGUUGUAAACUGCUUUUGUACAGAACGAAAAGCUCUGGGUUAAUACCCUGGGGUCAUGACGGUACUGUAAGAAUAAGCACCGGCUAACUACGUGCCAGCCGCCGCGGUAACAC